rnacentral:rRNA from 1 species
GCAUAACGCGAAGAACCUUACCUACUCUUGACAUCCAGAGAACUUAGCAGAGAUGCUUUGGUGCCUUCGGGAACCGUGAGACAGGUGCUGCAUGGCUGUCGUCAGCUCGUGUUGUGAAAUGUUGGGUUAAGUCCCGCAACGAGCGCAACCCUUAUCCUUUGUUGCCAGCGGUUAGGCCGGGAACUCAAAGGAGACUGCCAGUGAUAAACUGGAGGAAGGUGGGGAUGACGUCAAGUCAUCAUGGCCCUUACGAGUAGGGCUACACACGUGCUACAAUGGCGCAUACAAAGAGAAGCGACCUCGCGAGAGCAAGCGGACCUCAUAAAGUGCGUCGUAGUCCGGAUUGGAGUCUGCAACUCGACUCCAUGAAGUCGGAAUCGCUAGUAAUCGUAGAUCAGAAUGCUACGGUGAAUACGUUCCCGGGUCUUGUACACACCG